GGGCCGCACGCGCGCUACACUGACGGAGCCAGCGAGUAUAACCUUGGCCGAGAGGUCUGGGUAAUCUUGUGAAACUCCGUCGUGCUGGGGAUAGAGCAUUGUAAUUAUUGCUCUUCAACGAGGAAUUCCUAGUAAGCGCAAGUCAUCAGCUUGCGUUGAUUACGUCCC
rnacentral:rRNA from 1 species